rnacentral:rRNA from 1 species
UACGGAGGGUGCGAGCGUUAAUCGGAAUUACUGGGCGUAAAGGGUUCGUAGGUGGUUUGAUAAGUUAUCUGUGAAAGCCCUGGGCUCAACCUGGGAAGGCCAGAUAAGACUGUUAGACUCGAGUACGGGAGAGGGCAGUGGAAUUUCCGGUGUAGCGGUGAAAUGCGUAGAGAUCGGAAGGAACACCAGUGGCGAAGGCGGCUGCCUGGCCUGAUACUGACACUGAAGGACGAAAGCGUGGGGAGCAAACAGG